UUUAUGGGUGAGAGAUGGGCAUGCGUUCUAUUAGUUAGUUGGAGUGGUAACGGCACCCCAAGACAGCGAUAGAUAGGGGCCCUGAGAGGGGGAUCCCCCACACUGGUACUGAGACACGGACCAGACUCCUACGGGAGGCAGCAGUGAGGAAUAUUGGACAAUGGGCGCAAGCCUGAUCCAGCCAUGCCGCGUGCAGGAAGACGGCCCUAUGGGUUGUAAACUGCUUUUAUACAGGAAGAAACACCCCGACGUGUCGGGACUUGACGGUACUGUAAGAAUAAGGAUCGGCUAACUCCGUGCCAGCAGCCGCGGUAAUACGGAGGAUCCAAGCGUUAUCCGGAAUCAUUGGGUUUAAAGGGUCCGUAGGUGGAUAAUUAAGUCAGAGGUGAAAUCCUGCAGCUCAACUGUAGAAUUGCCUUUGAAACUGGUUAUCUUGAAUUAUUGUGAAGUGGUUAGAAUAUGUGGUGUAGCGGUGAAAUGCAUAGAUAUCACAUAGAAUACCGAUUGCGAAGGCAGAUCACUAACAAUAUAUUGA
rnacentral:rRNA from 1 species